AGCUGGACCCCAAGCUCCGCUGUCCCACAGCAGUGUCUGCGGGCAGGUGGCCCCUCUGUGCUGCCCCCCUCCCCCCGGGCACUGUGGCCACGCUGGGAGCACAGAGCCAGGGUUCAUGGCGGGGACACCUGACUCACCCCACCACCUGACGCUGGGAGGCGAAACCCUUCCAGUCCCUGUUUUUAUCAGCCCUGUGGGACCUUUGUCCCAGCUGGGAGUGGUGUGCUAACGUUACCUGCGUGCCCAUGGUGACGGCCGUGGUGCAGGGAGUGGUGCAGCGUCACCCCUGCCCGCUGCACCCCUCCUUGCUAGGGCAGGGUCCUGGUAUUUAUCGGGUGCCGGCCACCCUGGGAGAGCCGUGUGGAGGACGGAGAUCAGCUGGUAGCAGUGCCUCCAAAGGGUGCUGCCAGCGUCGCCUCUGCUGGGAGCUUUUUGGCAGCUUGGUGACCGUGGAGGAUGUGGAACGCUAACCCAGGUGCGCCUGGAGGGGUUCCACCACCACAACUGCAAAUUUGCCCGCCUGCCCCUCCAGGAUACCCUUGUCCUGGUACCCCAGCAGGUCCCUUCCCCGGGUACCCUGCAGUGCCACCUGGCGCCCCAGGAGCCUGUCCCCCAGCACCCCCAGGUGGCUAUCCCUGUGGCCCUUCUCCACCUGGCCACUACCCACCAGGGCAGCACCCCCAUGGGCAUCCCCCACACGGGCAUCAUCCCCAUGGGCACCCCCAUCCAGGACCACCGGGAAUGCCAGGGUGCUCACCGUGCCCCCCUGGCUGCCAGAAGAAGCACCAUAAGAAGCACAAGGAGAAGCACAAGAAGAAGCACUCCAAGCACCAUGGAGGCAAGCACUCCAGCAGCUCAAGCAGCUCAAGCAGCAGUUCUGACUCUGACUGAAGAGGACAUCUCCCACUUGCACCACAGUGAAGCAAUGAAACAUGAAGCUGAACACCCCUUGGGAACCAACUACAUGUUGCUCUGCUCCUUUCCCCUUCCUCUUAGAGCGGUGUUUUGCCUACUGAGUGAUUUUCUUGCUUUUAGCUUGUAAAUUCUUUGACCUGGAAUCGCUAUGGGGUGAUGGGCAGCAGCUUCAUCCUCUGUCUUUCAGGAGAGACCACUGAAAGUCACCCCUGGGGCUGCAGGUAGCAGCAUGGGGAAUAUCACGUGCUGAUUUGCAGUCUGCUGGUGUCCGUGUGGUUUUUCCUGUGCAAUGAUGCUGUCUGCUAAUGUGGAUACCACUAUCCACAGAAGUCCUUAUAUUUUGCAUGACCUUUCCCAGCUGCAGCAGAGGGGCUGGCUGAGGAAUGCCAUAACUUUCCCCUUGCUGAGAUGUAUGGGGUGCCAUUCUCCAUGCGAGGGUAACAAUUAAUAGGAAAAAGUAGUGAUCUCUCUGUCUGAAGCCCCUGAGCCAUGGCCAUGGGACUGUGGUGUGCUCGCUAGGAAAGGUGAAAAGCCUGGCAGGGAUUUCACCACGAUUUUAACACAGAGCUGCUUUUGCUGCUGUUUUACUUUUGUUUUGCCCGUUGUCAUGGCUCAAGAGGACCCUUCCCAGCCCCAUUAUCAAGAAGGCUUUGCUCCCAGCCAGUGUGACUGGCUGCUGGACCCAGAGGUAUAAACACAAGCAGCUCACUGUGGCAGAGGGAAUCAAAGAGGUGGUGCAGCCCAUCGCGCCCGGAUUUACUGCCAGUGCAGCCUUGUUUGUCCUGGUUGCACAGCUGGUUGUGUGUGUGCGUGUGUGUGUGUGUGCUGGGGCAGUGGGAUUUCACUCCUGCAGCUCCUCUCUGGAUGCAGUCGUGUUUUGUCCCGUGCCCCUCGAAGCUUGCCUACAGCUCUCUUUUCCAAAGCAGGGAAAAUAGGGCCCUGGCAAUGCAGCACACGUGGCCACAGCUCCCCACUGCUGUGCCCUUCUCCGCACCCAUUCUGCUGGCUCCUCUGCACCCUGUCCCUGGGGUCCCCCAUGGGCCACCCAAGGUUUGCCCAUCCUCUCCUCCACACCCCACUUCCAUCACCGUGGAUGCGUGGUACUUAAAGCAGACUUCAUGUAUUCCGUAAAUGGUUAAACUGUAGGGAAUGUUCUUUCAGAGAAGAAAUGUAGCUAUUUUAGUAACCAUCCUAAAUUGUUUCAAGGACUUAGUAAGACAAGAAGGGAUGCAUGUGGCCUUGAGAACAUGGUGGCCUAGGACAAGGAUGCAAUAAAUAUGGACAUUGUCUGACA
ensembl:lncRNA